UUGGGUUUGUUUUCUUUCGAUCCGUCGUCCUUUGUUUGGCUGUGUUGGUUCCGAAGAUCGGUAUAAAAGCUUACGGUUCCGAACCGAAAGCCAUCACACUUCAGUGAGCAACCCAAGAGAUCGGAGCACCGAGCACGAAGAGAGAUCCCGAUCUAGGCAGGCAGGCAGGCAAGCGCUUUCGGCUCUUCCUUCGGGAAUCCGGAACGCUAAGCCGAACCUUAGAUCGUUAUUAGCUGAGUCGAGUUGUUUGCUUUGGAAAAGUGAUAAGAAUCAGUUGGUCAAAAUUAAGGUUGGGGUUGAAAAGUGUGAAAAUCUUAUCGGAUGCAGAUGUCAUGUGUGGACUAUUGGAAUUUUAUGUGUUCAAGUGAAAGUGACAGUUGAAAGUUCAAAGUUGGAAGACUGUUAAGCCGCCUUUAUCAGUGAGCGGGUGUGGAGGACGGGAAACGAAACAUCAACGGAGUGUGCUUUGAUCAAGGGAGGCGUUUUGUCGUGGAAUUAUCUCCACCCAAGGGACGAGAGUCUUAUCAGCCUUCGGAUGGUACGAUCGUGCUUCGGAAAGCCGAAGACUGUUAUCGUCGACGAGAGCGCCUGCUUCAAUCCAACUCAAUGGGAAUGACGCAACGGGCAGCGUAACGCAACGUAACGCAUCGUCGCAGAACAGCAGCAGUCUCGACUGUGGGAGCCGCGAUCGUCCACGAACUGACAAACGCUUCACGCAGCAGGGAGCCACUUGGGGAUGGUAAACUUCCCGGAAUCAUCCGUAAGCUUCAGCAGCGCGGGCCUCCAGGGACCUCCGAAAAAUCGCGUGUGCCGGCUUGGAACGCUCUGGACACGCCGAUGAGGAGGUUGGACGGUAAGAAAAAAAGGAAGUACGGUCCGAGUCCAACCAAGCAACCUGCCAAGAAUACAAAUAGCUCUACACAUACACACCCACAUACUGCAUCGACGACCUGAAUCCGGCUCGAAGGACCACAUGGGAUAAUGGUGAGAAAAGAGCUAGGGCGAUAGAUCAAACACCGUCGAACAAAAACGGCUUAAUCUGUUCCGACGUUUUGGCUAUCUCCACGCGGAGCUUUUUAUGACCACCAGUUAUCUAGUGGCAUCGUCAUCCUUGGCCAAGCAGAGCCGAGUCGUUUUCGGUUCCAUAAACCGACAAACGGGCAGAAAAAAAGACGGUCGAAAGGAUAGAAAAUAUUCCCCCGCAGCAUCGUAAUCGUUUUCGAUUGUGUGUCUGAUCCGGAACUUUCGUUCUGUCUCGGCGUGCACAAACUUUGGAUCACAACCGGAACAAAGAAGUUGCAGCCAGAAGCCGAGAGAGAGAGAGAAUACGUGAAAUGUCAGCAACAGUUCAAUUUACUGCAGCAGCACCAUCAUCAAUGAGAGAACGGCUGAAGCUGCAGUUUCCUGAGACUUUUUUUCUCGUGUGUACCUGCCUUCGAUUCGAGUGAGGAUAUUCCAUACUCAAACAUACACACACAAGAAGUAAAGGACGGGAGAAAAGAAGGAUCAGCUACCAGCAGCAGUGCGAUUCCGAGGAAGAAAAAUCGAACAGCGAAAUACCAUUUUUCAUUGCCGACUUCCGUCCCGGUCCGACUACGUUUCCGUGUCCUGGGAACUCGUACGUGAUCCCCGGAAUGGCAUUCCGAGUAUUUCAAUUUCCAAACCAUAAAUAUUUCACGCUUUUCCCAAUGCUUCCCCCGAAUUCAUUACAUCAAGUGGUUGCCUCAUUUUUGGAGCGCGUCAGCAUUUUUCAAAACUUUUUUUUCAACUGUUUUUUGAUUCAUCGUUUCUUAAGAGUGUUUUUUCGAGUGUUUUUAAACUUUUUUCAAACUUUCCUUUUUUUUCGUUUUAAAAUGUUUUCAAAUGUGUGUGUUCUAGCUUAGGAAACCCUUUCAAACAAUUAGGUUAAGAUUGUUGUUUUUUCGAGUGCCUUUCGUUUUUUUGUUUUAAUUUUAUUUGUUUUUUUUUUUUCAAUUUUUCAAAAGGCGUCCAUGUUUUUCCGACAAUUGACAGUGAAAGCGUUACCCUUUUCCAAAACCGUUUGUUAUUCAUCGUUAUGGCUGUUUGUUUGUUACCCGUUUGUUACCCGUUUGUUAUCGUUACCCGUUAUCCGUUUUCUUUCAACCGUUUGUUUCCAAUCGUACCCCACAGAAUCGAGAUCGUGACCCGAAGUUUUGUUUGUUAUUUGUUACUUGUUUUGACUUGUUCUGAGACAGGAGCAAAAUUUCUUCAACUUUUGCUGUUGUGACGCUCGAAAUCGUAACUGUUUCUGUUUACCGUUACGCGAUUUCAAGCAAACAGCAAAUUUUGGACGAAUUUUGUUUGCUUCGAAAGCUCGACUCGAUUCUGGAAACUUCGUUGUUACCUGUUACCCGUUACCGUUUUUGUUUCAUGUUUCUGUUUCCCAUCUGUUACUCUUCUGUUAUCAUUCGUUACAGUGCCUGUUGUUACUUGUUGGAGUCACGACGUCACUAGAUUCGAAACGUGGCACAGCAACCGCUUCGGCUUUCACCCGAAGACGAAUCGGUUGCUGCGUUACGCUCGAACAUCUUUAUGUUAUCACUGUUAUUAACCUUUGCAUGUUGUUUUGUUUUUGUUUCUGUUUUGUUUUUUCUGUUUCGUUCCGUUCUGUUUUGUUGAAACGCAGUUAAAGCGAGUUCAUUUAUUAUGUUUUGAACUUGCCGCUACUAAUUCGUUCAACAAUUUUGUUUUCGUUACCUGUUUUUUUUGUUUUUCAUUAUGUUUUCGUUCAAGUUUACCCGUUAAGUUUCAUGCCUGUUACAUUCCUGUUAACCCUUCGCUUGUUACUGUUUGUUAUUUGGAACUGAAACGUGGCAGCUGUCACCCAAAUUGUCCGAAGCUCAACAUGGCGCCCGCAUUUACUUUUUUAAUCAUUUCAUCUUCUGUUCGUUUGAGUGUGUUAGUCAUUUAAGUUUUUAAGUGUUUUCUAACAAUAACCACCUUCUAUACGUAAAAAAAAUUGCGAGCGAUCAAACUCGCUCCAGGUGACUUUGACAAUAAUUUCACCCUUUAUGUAGGUUAGUUUUUUAUUCUUCUAAAAUUUUUUAAACUUUUUUCGUAAGUCCAUAAUGUUGCAUUGGUUCAACACGCGCCUGCUUUGAUUGGCAUUUGAUUGAUGCGUCAAGCGUUAGGCAAAAAAACGUCAAAACGGUAACGUGUUGAACCUUCGUAAGAGAAUGGAUUUGAUAAAUGCAACCGUGCCACGGAAAAGGCCACCCAAGUAAAAAGGAGGAAAAUGCAAGGGAAAAACUGAAAAUCAAUGCGGGAAACCACUUGUUUAGGAAAACAUCACACUUGAGACAGUUUAAUUGUUCUGAAAGACACAAAGCCAAAUGGUUCACAGAAGAUCAACCAAAGCACGUUUGAAACGUUUAUACGAUGUUAAUCCUAACCUACUGAUUCAGAAACUUUGCCAUUGACAGUGCUCAGUUGAAAUAACAUCCGGAAAGCCGGAUGUUUGUUACACAAAAGAUUGUUAACCACACGUUAUUGUUACUCGUUGUUACCCUUGUUAUUGCUUUGUUUGUUAACUAGUUCUUAAGACCAAAACACCGUUCACCAACAAAAAGAAAAAAAAACUUACACAAACACAAAACACACAGAACACGCCGAGCAGUUGUUAUCUAGUGUUACUAAGUGUUACAGAUUGUUUUAUUCUCAGCAUUGCUUGUAAGCGUUUGUUCUCGAAUCGGUGAAAAGCCCAAACCAAAAAAAAAAAAGAAUUGUCGAAGUGGAACAUCAAACUGGAUCAAAUUGUCGCUAACCGGAUCCAAAACAGAAUCCUCUUCGUACAAUUUCGUUGUUAAUGUUUUUUUUUACUGUUACCAAUUAGAGCGCGUUUGUUCAAGUUGUCAGGUUAUGUUUAUAUUAUGAAAAGUUGUUAAAGCCCCCAAUCGUUACCGUACAAAAACAAAAAGAAACCACAUACACACAACACAAUCACCGUUAUCGAACCGUUACGUUUAUGUUUGUAUCCGUUGCUACUAGGAUUAGGCGAACAAUCGAAAAAAUCAACCCAAUCUUAGUAGGUCUGUUAUGUUUGCUUUGGUUAGAAAUCAAACUGUCACAGUGACAGUGACAGUUUGUUCAAGUGUAGGCGAAAACUAGCUGAAAAAAAAAUUGUAUUCGCGAGUUUUUACCGUUAAACACACAUUUUAAUUCAAUCAACUAACUUUUUUCUUAACAUUCGUAUUCGUCAAGUUAGAUUUAAUUCCCAAUAUUAUUAGAGUUUAAUCUUUCAAACGUUUUUUCGUUUUUAAGCUUUCAAAUUACAUUUUUCUAAAUUUUAUCAACGAAAAUUUUCCCAUUGCUAACAUUAAAUUUAAAGAAACCUAACAGUAAGCUUUUCAUUGUAUAAGACAAAUCCCUAGACUGUAAGAGAACUUUAAUUUGUAAUCAGGAAAAAAACACCACAGCAACCUUUGUUUGUUAGUUUGAGUGUGCCCCGUUCGAGUUUGAACUUUUACCUUCCUACCUUGUAAGCUUUGAAUAAAACCAGGUUUAUCACAAAACCCUACAAAAGAAA